rnacentral:rRNA from 1 species
AGUGAACGCUGGCGGUAGGCCUAACACAUGCAAGUCGAACGGCAGCACAGUAGAGCUUGCUCUUACGGGUGGCGAGUGGCGGACGGGUGAGGAAUACAUCGGAAUCUACUUUUUCGUGGGGGAUAACGUAGGGAAACUUACGCUAAUACCGCAUACGACCUACGGGUGAAAGCAGGGGAUCUUCGGACCUUGCGCGAUUGAAUGAGCCGAUGUCGGAUUAGCUAGUUGGCGGGGUAAAGGCCCACCAAGGCGACGAUCCGUAGCUGGUCUGAGAGGAUGAUCAGCCACACUGGAACUGAGACACGGUCCAGACUCCUACGGGAGGCAGCAGUGGGGAAUAUUGGACAAUGGGCGCAAGCCUGAUCCAGCCAUACCGCGUGGGUGAAGAAGGCCUUCGGGUUGUAAAGCCCCUUUGUUGGGAAAGAAAAGCAGCAGGUUAAUACCCCGCUGUUCUGACGGUACCCAAAGAAUAAGCACCGGCUAACUUCGUG